ensembl:lncRNA
UGCAGGACUGUGGCCCUCCGGGAACUGAGUUUGACACCCUUGGCCUAUCCCAUUUUUGCCUCCCUCCCACUGUUAAAAUAUGAGCAGACAGGAAGCCCAGUGCCCCUUCCCGGAUCUGUAGCUGUCAUUUUCCUUCAGGGAAAAGAAGGCCCCUGCUUUAUUUGUAGCCCUCCACCUGGGUUGCACUCUUCUGCUGCAAUUUAAAAAGUCAGGAAUGUGCUAUAAACUUUUUUCGAGGUACAUCACAAGCCUUUUUAAGGACAUAAUGAGCACUGUUUCCAGUCAGAAGAAAAAACGCAACAGACAUUCUGAGUGAAUUUGAAGAUUUGUUUACAAGCCUGGGUUGUGUUCCGGGAAUCCACCACAUUCAGACAAAACCUGAGUCAUACCAGUGAUUCAUGCUUACAGGAAAGUUCCAGUGGCCCUGAAAAAGUACAUUGACAGAGAACUGAAAUGUUUGGAAAAGGUGGGUGUCAUCAAAAAACACUGAGCCCACGGAAUGGGAAAAUAGUAUGGUGACAAUAGUAAAGCCCAACAAGAUUAGGAUCUGCAUAGACCCUCAAGAUCUAAACAGAGCAGUAAGAAGGGAACACUAUCCUCUCAAAACUCUUGAGGAAGUUGAGCCAAGAUAUUUUCAGUGGUGGAUGCCAAUCAGGGGUUUUGGCAGAUUCAGCUGGAUGAUGAGAGCUCUAAGCUCUGUACGUUUACCUUCAAGAGAAUCACAUUCAAGACAGCAGAGAAGAGGAUGAGAUAUUUGUGAGUUUUAUAGUGCACCAACUACCUGUUACAAAAGAGAAAAAAUGAAGAGUUUCAGUCAGCAACUGCAGACGAUGAAGAACUGAGAUUAGUUUUGAGAAGUGGUUCAGCCAGGGUCGCCAAACCCAAGGAGCCAGGUACCAAAACCCAUACAGCAGUACUGGACAUUUAGAGAUGAACUGAGCUCUACAGAUGGACCCCAGAUAGCAUGCGGAUGUGGGCCACUUAAGGCAAGGAUAUGGCACUGGUGGGCUUCUUAUGGCCCGUACAAAAAAUGGAUAUAAGCCUGAAGUGGCCUACAUGUAAAAUAGCAAAAAUGGCCCAAAUUUAUCAUAUCACAUGUGAUGCAAAAGAUGUUGUGUUCACAGCAAUGUGUAAUCUGAAUGUGACCCUAAGGUGGCCCAUGUGGUAAAUAGUGAAUAUGGCCCAAAUAGUGCCAACCAAAUGUUGUCCACCUUUGGCAAAAAUGUGGCACAAUCGACAAAGUCUAAUCAGGGUGUAAACCAAAUGUGGUCCAAAUGUGGCUUAAAGUGACCCUUAUAUGAUGCCAUAAAUGUUGCCCAGGUAUAUUAAAACAUAUCUGGGCCAGUUUGGCAAAGAUAUGGCACAGUGAACACAGGCUAAUGUGGCUGUGAGCCUGAAGUGGCCCACAUAUGAUGCCACAAAUGUAGCCCAGUUAUCCUAAAACCUAUCUGGUCGAGUUUUGGCAAAUAUAUGAGUAGUAAUUAUGGAUGUAUCUUAUGUCAAACUUUUUGAUUGAUGACUUUUGACCUUUGACCCGCCCCCUUAGAGUUAACCUUAUGACCUUUUUAAUGACUGUGAUUAAUCUUUGACCUCAGCAAUGAAAUAAGAGAAUGGUGAGACUGUUCACCAGAUGUUCAAUGACGUCUGUUUGUAAAAUGUUUUUGGAGCGCCAUAUUUAAUGUUCAACAGAUGUGUUAUGCCAUCUGUUUUGUAAUUUAUCAUGUCACAUCACAAUUAACCCACGAUCUCCAUGGUUGAAACAUGAGUCAUGCUUGAACUCGAUCGCCUGGGACAGCUGUGGACCACAUGUGUUCGUAUCGGGUGGAGCUCCAUAGAGCGGGUCAUUUCUGUGGAAAAUCUGAAAACAGCAGUGAAAUGAGAAAAUAAUAAAAUAAAAGAGAGAGAGCCAAGGCUGUUGAAAACACUUAAAAACAUCGACAGCAACAGUUCAAGCACUGAAUGGCUUAUAGAAGCCUUACACGCAUAUGUGAACAUAAGUCUUCUUUUUCUGUCUGAAGCUGAGCAGAAGUUUGUGACCCCAGGGGCCCCGUUAUGUGACCUCAGGAUGCGAGAGAGAUUUCCGAGAGGACAAUAUCAAAAAAUAAGUAAAAGUAUAAACAAUUUUAAGAAAUCAAAGCAUAUUGUGUAUAUAGCUCUCUCAAGUUCAAGUUGUACUAUUACAACUCGCAGGACAUGAGAGAAAGGGAGAGAGUGGAUCUCCAGCGGUUAACAGUGUUUGCUUAAAGCUCAUUAAAAUGAAACAUAAUGAUACUGUCUGUAACCGCCAGAUGUUGGCCAGACAUGCGGGACCACUCCGUGACCUCAGGCGUGUGAGAGAUGUGUUCCUGAUGGUCGACCUGCAACGUCACAUACAUAUAAAAAAUAAUUGAAAAACAACAUCAGAAACCGGUGGAUCACACACACACACUAGCACACAAGCACUGUAAAAAUUCUGUCUGUAUUCUGAAUCACAGCAUUAUAAUAAUGGAUUUAAAUAAAACACAUAACUAUACUCAAUUAAAAAAAGUUUAGCUUGAUUAAUAAAAAUAAAUAAUUCAAUAAAAAUAAGAAACUUUGAAUUUAAUGAAAAAAAUUGUCUUACAUUUUCAGGAAGGUUGAGAAAACA